rnacentral:lncRNA from 1 species
UCUCAUCAGGAUUAUUCAAACCAGCAGUCUCUGACAGGCCACAGUGGAAACCUCAAGAUAUUCACAGCUGCUCUAGUCUGGAGACAGGCCAGAAAGCAGAUGAGAGCAGUUUUUCCGUUCCUGGGCUGUUGCCCCUGUAAUUUAGAAGUCCCGACACUGGAAAACAAGAAGAACUCAGGGGCUCACUUAAAAGCAAGCUCAGUGUGGGGUCUCCAAUGUCGUGCAGGGAAGCUGCUAGUCAAAACUUGCUAAUUUGAAAUGGGUUCACUGACUCCUUCUUCGGACUGAGGGAAUGAAGUCUUUUUUCCCCACUUAGAAGUUUUUCUUCAGCUCCUUAUUUCAAAUUCCAUAAAAGAGACAACAGGAAAAGCUGGCCCUAGCCCAAGAAGCAGAGAUGAAAACCAGAUCUCUAUUUUUGUAAGUGUGAUGUCUUUGGUCCUUGGAUCAAGUCAUUUAUUUCUAUAAAGCAGCUCCAGGCUGCUAAGAGUCCUCAUUCCAAGUGAACUACGCACCCAACAUCAU